UUUCGGUCCUUGAGCACUAGGGGAACAAGGUCGUGAAAACAAGGUCUUGGUGAGGUGCCGCCAUUUCAUCCGUCCUCGGUCUCUGCGCCUUUCGCAGAGCUUCCAGCAGCGCUAUGUUGGGCCACAGCAUCCGGAGGUUCACAACCUCUGUGGUCCGUAGGAGCCACUAUGAGGAGGGCCCUGGGAAGAAUUUGCCAUUUUCAGUGGAAAACAAGUGGGCGUUACUAGUUAAGAUGUGUUUGUACUUUGGAUCUGCAUUUACUACACCCUUCCUUAUAGUAAGACACCAACUGCUUAAACAAUAAGGAUGUUUCAGUUCGUCCAUUUACCAGAUAUGAAGAGUAUUUUAAGAGAUACAGCCUCUGGAAAUGGAUCAAACUCUAACUCAUGGCGUGCUAGAUAUGUUUGUCAAUAAAUUUAUGACAUGAA